rnacentral:rRNA from 1 species
UACGAAGGGGGCGAGCGUUGUUCGGAUUUACUGGGCGUAAAGGGCGCGUAGGCGGCGCGAGAAGUCGAGUGUGAAAGCCCCGGGCUCAACCUGGGAACGGCGCUUGGGACGGCGAGGCUGGAGUUCGGGAGAGGAGAGUGGAAUUCCCAGUGUAGAGGUGAAAUUCGUAGAUAUUGGGAAGAACACCGGUGGCGAAGGCGGCUCUCUGGACCGACACUGACGCUGAGGCGCGAAAGCGUGGGGAGCAAACAGG